rnacentral:rRNA from 1 species
AUGGGUGGCGGGGCUGAUGAAGGGGCUGUGGUUGUGGGAGGAAGAGAAGAAGGGGUAAAGAUUAGAUUGUUUGCGAAGGAAAAAGGGAAGAGCAUUGAGUUGCAGGCAGUGGGGAAGGUUGUGUCAGGUCGGCUUGCGCACUCAAAUGCCAUCCGCUUGUCGCUGGGUAGGGUUUGGUGCCCCAUUAAGGGCAUCGAUUGCAAGGAAGUGGGAGAGAACCGUUUCAUGUUUACGUUCUACCAAGACUCCGGGAAGAGGAAAGCGCUUGAUAAUGGGUCGUGGAUGUUCGACAAAAACUUGGUAGUAGUGGAGGAUUUUGUGCCCAGGAAGAGAAUUGAGGAUUAUGAGUUUAAUAACAUUCCGAUAUGGGUGAGGGUUUAUAAUUUACCUCUUGGGAUGAUGAAUGUGGAUUCAGCUAAGUGUUGA